UCAUCAAACUUCUGAAACUCCUCCAACUCUACCUUGACUAAGGCAGUUUGGCCACGCCCAAGUCCUCAUCGACUAGGCUGGCCCCUUGCCAAUAACUCUUUUACUUAGUGUUAAACACAUGUAUAGGAAUUACAUAUGUCA